GACUUAGCUGUGUGUGUAUGAGUGGUUGUUAUCUCUGCACUUGAAGGUCAGGGAGCCAGUGUAAAGAGAGAGAGAGAGAGAGAGAGAGAGAGAGAGAGAGAGAGAGAGUGGAGAAGAGAAAAGACGUCUAUUACACUUGAAUUAUGAAGUUAAAGAUAUUUUAUAUCUAAGUUCGACCAAUUUGAAGGAGUCUCAAAUUCUCAUUUAAAAAUGACGCUUUGAUGUUGAUAGCGUAACAUAUUAAUACAGUCAAGAGUGUUUGUUUUCCUGUCAAUGCUAAAAGAGACAUGUCUUGGUUGAUAUUCUUGUUAGAUUUGCCAGUUUUGGAAAAGUAUGUGCCACUGAAUUACAAUUGUUAUUUAAUAAUUUCUACAGUCCUAAGUGUUUUUUCCUUUGGAACAAAAUGGAGGGGGGUGAUCUUAUAGUCCUGGUUCUGGGGAUGGGCCUCUGGAAACACCCGUAAGGGAGCUGAACACGCAGCAACGGGUAAACCAGAGACUUACAUGCAGACCAGGGCUGUUAGGUUGCUUUAGGCCAUCUUAUCUUUUCUUCCCCUGGUGAUUCAGGCCCUAGCCCUAAAAUAAGAUAUACUCAGAGCCUGAGAUUCUAAUAUAUGAGAGAUCUGCUCACAACAACAAGUAAGGUAACAAACCACCAACAUUUGAUUAAAGUGACUGAGUAGUCACACUUGAGUUGUAUGACUUUAGGUGUACUGUAGUUACGCUUGACUUAUGUAGCCACUUAAGUAUAUAAGCACUCUUAGAAUGUAAAACUCUUUGUUUCAACCAGCUGUGCUGGGUUUGCAAAGAUUCAAUAUAAUUGGAUGAUUUUUGAUCACUGGCUCCUGUCUCAUCUUCUUGAUUCCGAAUUGAUUUACCUAACAGAAUUGCGAGAGGUCCCGGGAUCCCAACAUCUGGGGUCAGAACGAGCUUUCUGAAAAACUGUACACGGUGAGGUCUGGGACCUUGGAUUUGGAAUCCUGAAAGCCCUUGGUUGUCUGAGACAGCAAGGCGAGAUGGCUGAUCUUCUGACCCCCGGUGACGGGAUUCUACUGAAAGGGAAUUCUCCUGAGACGUCAGAGCGAGAACCAGUGAUCAAGCAAAAAGGCGAACGUUCGAGUGUUGGAUGCCUGGACCAAAGCAUCAAGGCCAUCCUUGCUCUCCCCAAUCCUCUACAAGUCACAGGAGCACAUAUGCAAGAUGAUGGGUAUGUUAAUUAUAUCAGAUUACAUAUUCCAGUUUUGGUUUACAUUUUCCAGUUAUACAUUUAAUGACGGCCCCAUAGAAAGUAUGACCAUUUUGCUUAAAUACAGGCUAAUUGUUUCGCCAAGCUCCCUGCUCCCCAUGGUAAUAGAACCUGACCCAAGUUAUCCUGUUCCACGUGUAGGCCGCAAACACUGGAAGCCAUGCGGACGCUAUGUUCCUGCUUCAAGGUAGACACAGAUGUGUUUUGACUGUUGAUUGGCUAGGUGUGUAGGCCUUGAGCCCUGCCAGGUCCUGCUUUGAGUGAGACCACCAUACACUAUGGUGAGCGACUGGCUGAAUGGGCCACAGUGGAAGAAAUAUAGGUUCUGAGGGCAGAGAAGGUUCUGGAUAAAAAGGGGGAGAGGGGCACAAGUGGCAGAACUUUUAGCUUGGACGUAUGUAUUACUGUAAGCAUUGCUCCACAAUCUCGUGCUUCUGGCAGUGACAACACUGACAAGAGUUGAAGCAUAUCAGUUAAAUUCAUACUUGGGGGCCAGUUUAGCAAAGUUGUAAUCUUACCAACAGCAGUGAAUUUAUCAAAUUGUUGAUGCUAUGACGCACUUAGCUCUAGGACACAGUGUUAUACGCGACAACAUUUUAGCUAAGGGAAUAAUCUUGCAGCCUUGCUGCAGAUCAUAAGGGGGAGUCUGAUUAAGAGUAGUCUGAUAACAUAGACAGCUAGCUCUUGCAGUGUAUCAAGUUAUGAUUAAAGAUAGCUUUUUCUUUCAUGGAGGAUGAGAGGUUGUUGAUAUUGACUUCACUACACUGAACUAAUUUUGAACUAAUAGGUUCAUAUGUUUAUUAACACACCCACUGUAGUUGUUAUAUGGGUAUUAUUGUUUUUUUUCUCUUCAUUGACAUGGAAAA